GCUAAGAUGCAGCCUUUAUCUGCAUUUGCACCUGCACCUUCUUGUUUUUAAUUAUCUGCUUCUGCUUCAGAAACCAAAUGUGUUGAUGAAAAUAGAAUAGGACCGAAACAGAAAAUAAUAAUAAGGUGCAGGUGCAGGCGCAGCUGAAUGCCAUUUUGGC
rfam:Gossypium raimondii Chr09_contig_107, whole genome shotgun sequence.